rnacentral:lncRNA from 1 species
GGCUAAAUUGCACUUUUGGUCCCCUAAGUUUCAGAAACUUGCAAUUUUGGCCCCUUAUGUUUCAAAAUAGCACUUAUAGCCCCCUAAGUUUCAAAAAGUUGCGAUUUUGGUCCCCUAUGUUUCAAAAUAGCAUUUUUGGCCCCCUAAGUUUCAGUAGUUGCGAUUUUGGCCACCUAUAUUUCAAAAUAGCACUUUUGGCCCCUAUCUUUACCCCUUUUGCAAAAGGUCAAUUUUGAUCGAGUCAAAGUUGAUGUGGCAAGUCAC